AUUAAAAUAAACUAAGAAGUAUAAAAAUUUUAAAAAAACUAAUAUACACUGGCAGCAUUUAUCUUAUUAGAGGAACAUGUUUCUUAAUCGAAAACACACGCUCUUUUUCACUUAUUUUAAAAUUUUAUAUACCGCCGUAUAGAACUAUUUUCGAAAUUUAUUCUAAAAAUUAUUCUAAAAAAAUAGGUAAAGGUGUAAACAAUAAGUAAGAUGAAAAUGUGUUACAAUAAAUAUAAUUUAAAAAUCCAUUUUUACAAAACUAAAUGUAGGAUUUAAAAGUAAUAUUAAAAAUAAAAAUUUUAUAUGAAUAAGUAAACAAAUGUGC
rnacentral:rRNA from 1 species